CAAUAGCGUAUAUUUAAGUUGUUGCAGUUAAAAAGCUCGUAGUUGGAUUUCGGAUGGGAUUUGCCGGUCCGUCGUUACGAUGUGCACUGGCCAGUCCUAUCUUGUUGUCGGGGACUAGCUCCUUGGAUUCACUUCCUGGGACUAGGAGCUGACGAGGUUACUUUGAGUAAAUUAGAGUGUUCAAAGCAAGCCUACGCUCUGAAUACAUUAGCAUGGAAUAACACGAUAGGACUCUGGCUUAUCUUGUUGGUCUGUGAGACCAGAGUAAUGAUUAAGAGGGACAGUCGGGGACAUUCGUAUUUCAUUGUCGGAGGUGAAAUUCUUGGAUUUAUGAAAGACGAACUUCUGCGAAAGCAUUUGUCAAGGAUGUUUUCAUUAA
rnacentral:rRNA from 1 species